UACGUAGGGUGCGAGCGUUAAUCGGAAUUACUGGGCGUAAAGCGUGCGCAGGCGGUUUUGUAAGUCAGAUGUGAAAUCCCCGGGCUUAACCUGGGAAUGGCAUUUGGGACUGCAAGGCUUGAGUGCGGCAGAGGAGACUGGAAUUCCUGGUGUAGCAGUGAAAUGCGUAGAUAUCAGGAGGAACACCGAUGGCGAAGGCAGGUCUCUGGGCUGACACUGACGCUCAUGCACGAAAGCGUGGGGAGCAAACCGG
rnacentral:rRNA from 1 species